GGCUUUAACCAGAAAGGAAGCAGCCUGCCGUGUCCAUUUCUGCAUCUAUUGCUUUUUCACUAAAUCUAGAAAUAAAUCUAGUUCUAUGGAGCUGCAGAGACAAUUUGUGGAGGGGCCAGGGAACAAAUGUGACUUCAGAAUACAACCUGGUGACAUGUGAGCACUGUAGGCAAAGCCGAGAAUUGACACAGCCCAGGUGGUCAAGGGGCAAGGGACGAGAGCCUUCCUGCCUGCCCCUUCAUUAGUUCCGAUUGGCCCACUAAGAAUACCUCAGACCAAUAAAGCAUCUGGGAGCCAAUCCAAGCUACUUAACUCCAAAUUACUGAGGUGCCAACAGGCGCUAGGCUUAUAAAUCUGUCUUUUAUCAUCUGGUUGGCUUAGCCAGGUCUCCAAAAGCGACAGUAAAAUUUUAUGAUGUACUUUAACAAGCCGACCUUCAGAGUCAGGCUUUGUUCUGUAUGAAAUCUUUCCCCUGCAGCAAUGGAGGUCAGACUGGAUCACCUAACCCUGCCUUGAUGCCACGAGUUGUUGGGCUAAGGCUAGACAGUCACAUCUAAAUAGAUUUCUCAUUCAAUCUAGUGAAAUACCCUGGCCUUAAUGCACUCUUAGCCUUUUUUGUAAGUGGUAUAAUUAUAAAGAUUUUCUGGUUGUUCAGUCUUAUUUUAUUAUUAUUAUUUUUUAAACUGUUGUCGUUUUUUGUUUGUUUUGUUUUUUGGCUACUCCUCGCGGCUUGCAGGACCUUAGUUCCCCGACCAGGGAUCGAACCCAGGCCCCGGCAAUGAAAGCACCGCGUCCUAACCACUGGACUGCCAGGGAAUUCCCUUUACUGUUGUAGUUUAAAAUUCCACCUUAGGGUGUCGUCGCUCCACCUUGGGUCCCAGAUAGUCCCCCAGGGGACCCGAGAGCCUAAGCUGUCCACCCCUCCACCUUUGCCGGCCCAGAGGAGGGUCCCUCUCCAGGAACCAGAAGGCUCCGGCUUUGUUCUGCUCCGCUGGAUGUGACCAGCCCAGACUCCUUCCUGCUGUGUCUUUCAAAUGGAUAAUUCUGUAAACCAAGCUGUGGCGAAGGAAAAGGAUUAGGAGACUCCAUAAAAGGGAUGUGUAUGCAUUUGCACGGUAGGUCAUUGCCUUGGCCUUCCUUGCCUUGCUGGAACUUUUUUUUUUUUAAACCUCUUUAUUGGAAUAUAAUUGCUUUACAAUGGUGUGUUAGUUUCUGCUGUAUAACAAAGUGAAUCAGCUAUACGUGUACAUAUAUCCCCAUAUCCCCUCCCUCUUGCGUCUCCCUCCCACCCUCCCUAUCCCACCCCUCUAGGUGGUCACAAGAGGGAAGGUUUUAAUUGAGUGAAUUUCCCAGGUAGACGAGAAUAGCUCCAGAGCAGGGGGCAUGGUGGGGGAGAUCUUUGUAUGUAAAUAGUGCCUCAGGAUCUAGGUCUACACGGAGAGGGAAAGUGGCUUGGCCUUCAUACUCCUGAAAGGCCUCAGAUUUGGAUCCUUGAUGUUCUCUCCAAAGAACCAGCCCUAAGAUAGUCUCAUGGUAACAAAAGA